rnacentral:rRNA from 1 species
UAGGGAAUCUUCCGCAAUGGACGAAAGUCUGACGGAGCAACGCCGCGUGAGUGAUGAAGGUUCUCGGAUCGUAAAACUCUGUUGUUAGGGAAGAACAAGUAUCGGAGUAACUGCCGGUACCUUGACGGUACCUAACCAGAAAGCCACGGCUAACUACGUGCCAGCAGCCGCGGUAAUACGUAGGUGGCAAGCGUUGUCCGGAAUUAUUGGGCGUAAAGCGCGCGCAGGUGGUUCCUUAAGUCUGAUGUGAAAGCCCACGGCUCAACCGUGGAGGGUCAUUGGAAACUGGGGAACUUGAGUGCAGAAGAGGAAAGUGGAAUUCCAAGUGUAGCGGUGAAAUGCGUAGAGAUUUGGAGGAACACCAGUGGCGAAGGCGACUUUCUGGUCUGUAACUGACACUGAGGCGCGAAAGCGUGGGGAGCGAACAGG